UACGAAGGGGGCAAGCGUUGUUCGGAAUUACUGGGCGUAAAGGGCGCGUAGGCGGCUUAUCAAGUCAGGCGUGAAAUUCCCGGGCUCAACCUGGGGGCUGCGCUUGAUACUGAUGAGCUUGAAUGCGGGAGAGGAUAGUGGAAUUCCCAGUGUAGAGGUGAAAUUCGUAGAUAUUGGGAAGAACACCGGUGGCGAAAGCGGCUUCCUGGACCAGCACCGACGUUCAGGCACGAAAGCGUGGGGAGCAAACAGG
rnacentral:rRNA from 1 species